GGAUGUUUCAGAAGGCUUCCACAUCUAAAACAGUGCAUACGAUUUGAAAACAGGGCUACAGCCAAGGAAUCAGGGUUUUGCUGUGUCAGCAAACAAUCCAGAGAGACAACAGUAAGUGAUCAAAACAGCAAGUUUAUUGACAGGAGGAGCAGCAGGAUAAAAGGCAACAGUCCGAGGGUGAGUAAUAUGGAGAAUUAAAAGUUUCAGGUCUCUUAGCUGUAGAUAAUGGGGAAUUGUCUCUUGCAGGUGAUCUAGAGGAGCAGUGGAGAACUGGUAUUAUACAAAUAUUUUAAUAUGCAUCUGUAAGUAAGAAAAAAA
ensembl:lncRNA